rnacentral:rRNA from 1 species
CUUGCUUUUCCUGCCGGCGAGUGGCGAACGGGUGAGUAAUACAUCGGAACGUGCCCUGUAGUGGGGGAUAACUAGUCGAAAGAUUAGCUAAUACCGCAUACGACCUGAGGGUGAAAGUGGGGGACCGCAAGGCCUCAUGCUAUAGGAGCGGCCGAUGUCUGAUUAGCUAGUUGGUGGGGUAAAGGCCUACCAAGGCGACGAUCAGUAGCUGGUCUGAGAGGACGAUCAGCCACACUGGGACUGAGACACGGCCCAGACUCCUACGGGAGGCAGCAGUGGGGAAUUUUGGACAAUGGGCGAAAGCCUGAUCCAGCAAUGCCGCGUGUGUGAAGAAGGCCUUCGGGUUGUAAAGCACUUUUGUCCGGAAAGAAAUGGCUCUGGUUAAUACCUGGGGUCGAUGACGGUACCGGAAGAAUAAGGACCGGCUAACUACGUGCCAGCAGCCGCGGUAAUACGUAGGGUCCAAGCGUUAAUCGGAAUUACUGGGCGUAAAGCGUGCGCAGGCGGUUGUGCAAGACCGAUGUGAAAUCCCCGAGCUUAACUUGGGAAUUGCAUUGGUGACUGCACGGCUAGAGUGUGUCAG